GACGAACGCUGGCGGCGUGCUUAACACAUGCAAGUCGAACGGAAAGGCCCUGCUUGCCGGGUACUCGAGUGGCGAACGGGUGAGUAACACGUGGGUGAUCUGCCCUGCACUUCGGGAUAAGCCUGGGAAACUGGGUCUAAUACCGGAUAGGAGCCAUUUUUAGUGUGAUGGUUGGAAAGUUUUUUCGGUGUAGGAUGAGCUCGCGGCCUAUCAGCUUGUUGGUGGGGUAAUGGCCUACCAAGGCGGCGACGGGUAGCCGGCCUGAGAGGGUGGACGGCCACAUUGGGACUGAGAUACGGCCCAGACUCCGACGGGAGGCAGCAGUGGGGAAGAUUGCACAAUGGGCGCAAGCCUGAUGCAGCGACGCCGCGUGGGGGAUGACGGCCUUCGGGUUGUAAACUCCUUUCGCUAGGGACGAAGCUUUUUGUGACGGUACCUAGAUAAGAAGCACCGGCUAACUACGUG
rnacentral:rRNA from 1 species